AUUGAACGCUGGCGGCGUGCUUAACACAUGCAAGUCGAGCGGUAACAGGCGUAGCAAUACGUGCUGACGAGCGGCGAACGGGUGCGUAAUACAUGGGAAUCUGCCCUUUGGUGGGGAAUAACCCGGCGGAAGCCGGGCUAAUGCCGCAUGAGAUCUUCGGAUGAAAGCGGGGGAUCGUAAGACCUCGCGCCGAUGGAUGAGCCCAUGUCGGAUUAGCUAGUUGGUGAGGUAACGGCUCACCAAGGCGACGAUCCGUAGCUGGUCUGAGAGGACGGCCAGCCACACUGGGACUGAGACACGGCCCAGACUCCUACGGGAGGCAGCAGUGGGGAAUAUUGGACAAUGGGCGAAAGCCUGAUCCAGCGACGCCGCGUGUGUGAAGAAGGCCUGCGGGUUGUAAAGCACUUUCGAUGGGAACGAAAUGUGCCGGGCUAAUACCCCGGCAAGCUGACGUUACUCAAUGAAGAAGCACCGGCUAACUCUGUGCCAGCAGCCGCAGUAA
rnacentral:rRNA from 1 species